GAGAUAGCUUAGUGGUAGAGCCCUUGCCUUGCAUGCAUGUGGCCCUGGGUCCAAUCCCCAGCUCA
rnacentral:tRNA from 1 species